UACGUAGGGCGCAAGCGUUGUCCGGAAUUAUUGGGCGUAAAGAGCUCGUAGGCGGCCUGUCGCGUCCGCUGUGAAAUCCCGGGGCUUAACCCCGGGCGUGCAGUGGAUACGGGCUGGCUGGAGGCAGGCAGGGGAGAACGGAAUUCCCGGUGUAGCGGUGAAAUGCGUAGAUAUCAGGAGGAACACCGGUGGCGAAGGCGGCUCUCUGGACGGUGACUGACGCUGAGACGCGAAAGCGUGGGGAGCAAACAGG
rnacentral:rRNA from 1 species